rnacentral:lncRNA from 1 species
GUAGUUACUAUAGAGUCCUUUAGGGAAAAAAAAUAGUUGAUUUCCAUGGAGCUAAUUAUUAAAUUCUUUCAAGCACAAGGUUAACAGUCCAGCUCUACCACAUUCAUCUAUGCUAUGCAGGGCCAUAACAAAAAAAUCCAAGUGAAAAAGCCAAAGAUAAACCUUAAUAGCUUCCAACAAUGUUACACCUACCAGGUACCACCACUACUGCAGCAUCUAGGAUGGAUAUCAAACAUUGGCAAUGAAAACAUACCAUGAUGACUCACUUCUUAAGAAACUUAGUCAUCAUCAAUAUAACAAGACACACAAUUCAAUGGUUACUGACUCUCAAAGCGAUGCUAUUAACUUCACAUUCUAGCCCAUAAAAGAGCCCAAUUAUACUUAGAAUUAGAAUGAGAAAAGCACAUAUGAUUGACAAUACAAAUGGCACUUAACACUCUUUUCUCGUCAAAAACAUAAAAGCACCCCAAUUAAAAAUUAUCAAAAACAAUAAAUUAUCCAUGAAUGUCAAAUUUGAUUGGGAUCCAGAACAAUCAAUGCCUCCAGCCCUAGACAACACAUAAAAUCACCUCAUACAAUAAAAAUUAAUUAGUAGAAAACAACUGAAAUGCAUCUAAGUCCUAGCAAACGCGGCACUAGAGAUAACUGGUAGCAGGCACCUACAUAAAAGGAUUCAAGCACAAACAAAUGGAUUCAUCAUAAAAAUAACCAAUGAGUUCAUCAUUAAACAAUUCAAGUCAAAAUACAAGUUCUUGGUACAGAAUGCGCUCUUAACAUCUCAUUUCGUGACUACUCAAACAUGGACAGAUUAUCCCUGGAAGAGUCUACACGACCCAUCGCGGAUCAACAUCAGUGUGAUUGGUAACGGCAGUCAGGUCCUGAAUUUGUAUCAUUGCCCCAUGGGCAUAAAAGAGGACAAUGAGAACACAACCAGCAUAGAAGAAUACAUAGAGUGUUCAGGUUCCGAGGUUUCUUUUCUGUUUGGGGGCAUUUCAUGGAACCUCCUCUACCAUCAUUGUCACCAAUCUAUCAUAUCCUCACCACGCAUAAGUUCAUCAUAAAGAAAAAACAGAAAUGGAACCUCCUCAACCAUCAUUGUCACCAAUCUAUCAUAUCCUCACCACGCAUAAGUUCAUCAUCUAUGAAUCAGGUCAUCACACACAAGUUUUGAUAAAACAGGAAGUUCCUAACAAAAGAAACAUCUGAUAUGAGAAAAACAAAGAGGGAAACACAAAAAGUUACAAUCAAAAUGUAGUCAAGAAUCCGAAAGAAUGAAAGGAGAGAAAAUAAAAAGAAAGCUCACCGCCAAGCGACGUGGAAUCAGGGAAGAAAGAAUUAACUGGAGUGGAGGUCGAUGUUUGUAUAGAGGGAGAUGGUCUUUGUGAGGUGGAGUUGAGAUGGAAUUUUUGCAAGGAAUUGACACCUGCUCCUGCUCUCUCCCCUUCAAAUUCCCUCCUUCCAUGACUGAAUACAGGGCUUGCCCUCCCUUUUUCUGUUUCCAUUGUAUGCAAACCCAAUCUUGUGCUCAUCUCCAUCCUCACAAGUCAGAAUAAAAUAGGGAAGAUGAAAUAUGCAUCAGCGACUACAAUCAGGCCCCGUUGGAUGCCGGCUAGGCCCUAAUGCUGCAUUUCAAGUGGACAAUUGUCAUUUUAUUUUUAAAAUAAUAUUUUCAUCUUUGUUU